GCGAGCCGUAUGAACUGAAAGGUUCAAGUACGGUUCUGAGGGCAGUUUAAGAGCCGCUAAGGUGGCCCUCGUACCUAGGGCCUAAAGGCGAGAGCUCCCUUAGGGGCUUUAGAGAGCCCCUAGGCCCUAGCCACACUUUGGUAGCCCAUAAGCAGACUUUAUAAAGGAAAUUGUCUCUAUGGAGACUCUCCUCUCUAAAAAUUCUGUCUUUAUGAAUCUUCUUCUGACCUCUAC
rnacentral:ncRNA from 1 species